AAAUGUAAAGCAUGCGUUGUGUGUGUACUGGAGACUACUGGAGUGUGCAGGAGGUUUUUGUACGGCUGCUUAAUCAGUCUGUAUCACUGUGGUACACUUUUGGUGGAGGAACCAGACUGGCUGUUGGAACUGACAGGCGCCCCAGGCUGACGCUGCUUCCCCCCUCCAGUGUGGAGCUGCAGCAGGGGAAGGCCACCCUGGUGUGCCUGGCCACCAAGGGCUUCCCCUGGGACUGGAGGCUGAGCUGGAAGGUGUCCGGGAGCAGCUUGGAGGGGAGCCAGAGCCCUGCUCUCCUGGAGAAGGACGGCCUCUACAGCUGGAGCAGCAGCCUCACCCUCACCCAGGAGCAGUGGAGGAAGCAGCCAGCCGUCACCUGUGAGGCCACCCAGGGCACCCAGCAAGCCGUCACCCAGCACAUCAACACGGGGGACUGUGCCCAGUAGAGCCGCGGCACACACACACACGUGCUUACAGAGAGAUAGAGACAGCACACACACACACACGCACGCACGUGCACAUACACUCUUACAGAGAGAUAGAAACAGCACAUACACACACACACACACACACACACGCAUCACACACACAUGCUUACAGACAGAUAGAAACAGCACACACACACACACACACACACACACGCUUACAGAGAGAUAGAGACAGCACACACACACACACACACACACACGCUUACAGAGAGAGAAAUCUUCUCUCUUUGUCCUUUAAUUUCCACUCAUGUGUUCUGAUGUGUGUGCAUGUUUAGUACUUUAUGUGUGAAACUAUUAAAAAAUAAAGAAUCUGAGUGAAAA